UAGGGGAGCGUUCUGUAAGCCGAUGAAGGUGUAUUGAGAAGUAUGCUGGAGGUAUCAGAAGUGCGAAUGCUGACGUGAGUAACGACAAAACGGGUGAAAAACCCGUUCGCCGAAAGACCAAGGGUUCCAGUCCAACGUUAAUCGGGGCUGGGUGAGUCGACCCCUAAGGCGAGGCCGAAAGGCGUAGUCGAUGGGAAAAUGGUUAAUAUUCCAUUACUUCUGUGUAAUGCGAUGAGAGGACGGAGAAGGCUAAAUCAGCCUGGCGUUGGUUGUCCAGGUGAAAGGAUGUAGGCAUGUAUCUUAGGCAAAUCCGGGGUACUCUAUGCUGAGAUCUGAUAGCAAGCUGUACUUGUACAGCGAAGUGGUUGAUGCCAUGCUUCCAGGAAAAGUCUCUAAGCUUCAGUUACACAGGAAUCGUACCCGAAACCGACACAGGUGGUCAGGUCGAGUAGACCAAGGCGCUUGAGAGAACUCUGCUGAAGGAACUAGGCAAAAUGGUACCGUAACUUCGGGAGAAGGUACGCUGUUGUUGGUGAUGGAACUCGCUUCCUGAGCUGACGACAGCCGCAGAAACCAGGCCGCUGCAACUGUUUAUUAAAAACAUAGCACUCUGCAAACACGAAAGUGGACGUAUAGGGUGUGAUGCCUGCCCGGUGCUGGAAGGUUAAUUGAUGGGGUUAGCGUAAGCGAAGCUCUUGAUCGAAGCCCCAGUAAACGGCGGCCGUAACUAUAACGGUCCUAAGGUAGCGAAAUUCCUUGUCGGGUAAGUUCCGACCUGCACGAAUGGCAUAAUGAUGGCGGCGCUGUCUCCAGCAGAGGCUCAGUGAAAUCGAAAUCGCUGUGAAGAUGCAGUGUACCCGCGGCUAGACGGAAAGACCCCGUGAACCUUUACUGCAGCUUGACACUGAACUUUGACCUUACUUGUGUAGGAUAGGUGGGAGGCUUUGAAGCUGGAACGCUAGUUCCAGUGGAGCCGUCCUUGAAAUACCACCCUGGUAAUGUUGAGGUUCUAACUCUGUCCCGUGAUCCGGGACGAGGACCGUGUCUGGUGGGUAGUUUGACUGGGGCGGUCUCCUCCUAAAGAGUAACGGAGGAGUACGAAGGUGCGCUCAGCGUGGUCGGAAAUCACGCGUAGAGUAUAAAGGCAAAAGCGCGCUUAACUGCGAGACCCACAAGUCGAGCAGGUACGAAAGUAGGUCUUAGUGAUCCGGUGGUUCUGUAUGGAAGGGCCAUCGCUCAACGGAUAAAAGGUACUCUGGGGAUAACAGGCUGAUACCGCCCAAGAGUUCAUAUCGACGGCGGUGUUUGGCACCUCGAUGUCGGCUCAUCUCAUCCUGGGGCUGAAGCAGGUCCCAAGGGUAUGGCUGUUCGCCAUUUAAAGAGGUACGCGAGCUGGGUUUAGAACGUCGUGAGACAGUUCGGUCCCUAUCUACCGUGGGCGCUGGAAAUUUGAGAGGAUCUGCUCCUAGUACGAGAGGACCAGAGUGGACGAACCUCUGGUGUACCGGUUGUGACGCCAGUCGCAUCGCCGGGUAGCUAUGUUCGGAAGGGAUAACCGCUGAAAGCAUCUAAGCGGGAAGCCUACCUCAAGAUAAGAUUUCCCUAGGACUUUAUGUCCUCUAAAGAGCCGUUCGAGACUAGGACGUUGAUAGGUUGGAUGUGGAAGCAUAGUGAUAUGUGAAGCUGACCAAUACUAAUUGCUCGUGAGGCUUGACUAU
rnacentral:rRNA from 1 species